UUUUAUUUUAUUUUAUUUUGCAUUGGUGUGUAAAUGACGUCUAGCUGCCUUUCCGGCCUCAGGGAGGUUUCUAUUUAAUUCAGGCUCUGGAGACACGUCUCUGGCAACCUGCAGCCUUAGUGGCGAGGUUUAUCUGAUUGUGCAUGCAGGCCCACCUCCCUGUUCUGCUUCAGGAGGCUUUGCUAUUUAUUGCACACCCUGCAUUGCACAAGCUGUCACCUCUUCUCUGAAGCUGUCCCAGCCACGUGUCUCUCAACCCCUGCCCAAGCCCUCCUCUCGCGGACUGUGUCACGCACAUGAACAGAACCAGGUACUCAUCAGCUUUUGCUUCCUGACAAUCACCCCACAACUUGUGAGCUUAGAGCAAUAAGCUUUGUGAGCUCACAAUUGAGUGGGUAGCUGUGCGACUCUUGUUUGGGUAUCUUCCUGCAUCCUGUCACCUGUCAGUCAACUAAUCUCUGUCGACAAGGACACAGAGCCCCUGAGCCACGUAGCUCUCAUCUUCCAAUAGGCUGGCCUGAGUGCAUUCACAUGACAGAGGCAGGUUCCCAGGACAGGAGCAGAGAAAAAUGGGCCCUUCAUUUAGCUGAUUGAACCAACAAAGGAGAAGUUUGAGACAGAAAAUGAAUAUAGAUCCAGCUGCAGCAAUUAGAGGGGAAAUCGAUAGAACAUCAUCAAGAGCAUCAGACGCGUUUUCUUCAUUAAUAAAAUGAGAACAACAACAGUACCUACCUUGUAGGGUGUGGCGAGGAUUACAUCAGUAAAUGUGUUAGAGCUUCAAAAGAGUCCCUGGAUCAUAUCCUGUUCAGGUCACAAUGAUAUGUGGGAUUCAUCCCUGCCCUCAAAGCUCUGAUGGUCUUAUACUACCAAUCACGUCACACUGGGCAUCUUCCGUGGAGCUCUGGUGAGGUUCUCUCUGGCUGU